AGAGUAACUGUUCAGGUAUUGACGGUAUUUAACCAGAAAGCCACGGCUAACUACGUGCCAGCAGCCGCGGUAAUACGUAGGUGGCAAGCGUUGUCCGGAUUUAUUGGGCGUAAAGCGAGCGCAGGCGGUUUUUUAAGUCUGAUGUGAAAGCCUUCGGCUCAACCGAAGAAGUGCAUCGGAAACUGGGAAACUUGAGUGCA
rnacentral:rRNA from 1 species